GUUGUGGUCACGGCGAAAACGUCACUCAUGACGUCAUGACUAAUGCUCACGCAAGGCUCACAACGACCCAUCUAAAGAGGUGGGUCAAAGUGAACGUUGAGAAUAAUUCGGCGCAAUUUUUGAAAUUGUUUUUGAAAUAUGAUAUUCAAAGCUUAAAGAUGGCGACAAGAAAAAUAACAUUAUAUGAUUCUGAAAGAGAAAUUGUAGUAGAAGCUAUCGUUUCUGAAGCUGAAGCUGCUCGUGCAGAAAGAGUUUAUAUUCAACAGCUAUUUAUACAUUUUUCCUGAAUAAUGGAUAGCAUAACCUAACUCAAUAAAUGUAUUUUUUGCAACUGAGCUGUUAAGAAAAAUUAUUAAUCAAAAUUCUUAAGCUUCCGCAUCUGUUGAAGUUGAUCAAGAAUCUAGUGAAUUAUACGAUGAAGAGACUUCAGAGAGUUUUAUUGGAGAAGAACGACUUGAUAGUGAUAAUCCAACCGAUCUCAACUCUGAAACUCCAGAAUUUGAAGGAGAAACUUCAGUAUACAGGUGGAACUCACCCUGCGUAUUAUUAUUAUUGGAAUUAUAUAGGUCUAUGGAAGGAACUCUGAACAGUGGAAAAAUUUCUCAAAAACAAGUAUGGAAUAAAAUAUCCCAAGAUAUGAAAAAAAAAGGAUACGAUGUGACGGGACCGCAAUGUCAUUCUAAAAUACGAAGCCUAAAAAAAAACAUAAAUCUACUAAGGAUCAUAACAAUAAGUCAGGAAAUAAUAGAAAGACAUGGCAGUUUUACGAUAUUAUGGAUGAAAUUUUUGGCGAAAAAGUAUGGUGCAAUCCAGUUGCAGUUGCAUCUUCUACUGGUCUGUCGUUGAAAGAAGCAGAAAAUAAUGAUAGUACAGCGGGAUCUGAUAGCGGAUGUUCACUAAAAACAAGUAAGGCGUCGAUAGCAUCUUUACUGGGAAAAAGAUUGCAUCAAAAAGAGGAACAUGAAGAAAA